CUCCCCGCACCAACGAUCGGACCAAAACUUGAUAUUACUCCCAUUACCCAGCUUAUAGUAUAUUCCCCAUUUGAAGAUUUCUUUAAUGCUUAGAACUCCCUUCCACCAGUAUGAGUAAGGUUUAAAAGAUCUUCCCUCCAUUAGGGGCCUUCGUCUACGAUAAUAUAGAUCCCGAAUGAUUUUUAUCCACUGUAACUGCGAUGUCGU
rnacentral:lncRNA from 1 species